rnacentral:tRNA from 1 species
AGACUGUUAGUUUAAGAAAAACCUUUGAUUUCGGCUCAAAAACUUGUGGUUAAAUUCCACAGCCGUCUA